rnacentral:tRNA from 1 species
GCUUAUGGGGUGUGUAUUGGCACAUUGGGUUUUCACACCGAAGGAGUAGCAGCUUAAAGAGUGUUACCAUAAGUU